rnacentral:rRNA from 1 species
UACGUAGGGGGCAAGCGUUGUCCGGAUUUAUUGGGCGUAAAGAGCGUGUAGGCGGUUUGGUAGGUCCGCUGUGAAAACUCGAGCUCAACCUCGAGACGCCGGUGGAAACCAUCAGACUAGAGUCCGGAAGAGGAGAGUGGAAUUCCUGGUGUAGCGGUGAAAUGCGCAGAUAUCAGGAGGAACACCUAUUGCGAAGGCAGCUCGCUGGGACGUUACUGACGCUGAGACGCGAAAAGCGUGGGGGAGCAAACAGG